rnacentral:lncRNA from 1 species
AUUAUAACUUCCACCCGCUCAAGAAUAAACUCUAGUUGUUCAUAAUUCCUCCAUGAUAGAUUCCUCUCUCUCCUUUAUGCCUUUCUUUUAUCCGAACGCACACUUUUCCUUCCCGCUUGGCUAGAAGAUAAACAACAAUACUAGACCAUAUUGAAAUCAAUAGAAAUCUCAUCUCCAUCAUGGCAUCAUUAGCAUCAUCGUAGGCUUUCCUAUUAAAAAGAAGGCAGGACAGAGAGCAUAACUAUAAGUGAAGUUGACCAGAAGUUAUAUCCUACACCACGUGCACCAUAUAGCAGUACACUAUGCCAGUCAUAAAUGCUCAUUUCUAUAAGCUCCAUGUAUUAAGUGCUUGUAUCGGCGAUUAGCCUAUAAAAAUGAGCUCUUGUGAUUGGCAUAGUGCACUGCCACAAAGUGCAUGUGGUGUAGGAUAUAAUUUCUCACAAGUUGAUUCUAUGGACCGAUAGAGUAGAUUUUGUGUAACAAUAUGAUUUCAAGCUUCUCAUAAGGCAGUGAAUUCCCAUAAUAUGAAACUUUAGGUAGAAAGACCUCUUAUAAUAAAAUUCUUUUAUCGCAUAAUGAAAACUUUAUAACUUCCACUCGCUCAAGAAUAAACUCUCGUUGUCCAUAAUUCCUCCAUGCUAGAUUCCUCUCUCUCCUUUAUACAUGUCUCUUAUCAAAC